rnacentral:rRNA from 1 species
UACGUAGGGUGCGAGCGUUGUCCGGAAUUAUUGGGCGUAAAGAGCUCGUAGGCGGUUUGUCGCGUCGGCCGUGAAAACUUGGGGCUUAACCCCGAGCCUGCGGUCGAUACGGGCAGACUUGAGUUCGGCAGGGGAGACUGGAAUUCCUGGUGUAGCGGUGAAAUGCGCAGAUAUCAGGAGGAACACCGGUGGCGAAGGCGGGUCUCUGGGCCGAUACUGACGCUGAGGAGCGAAAAGCGUGGGGAGCGAACAGG